UUGUUUUUUUUAUAGUUUUGUUUUGAGGAGGAAGAGGGAUAGCACUAGAUUUCCAGUAGUCUCGUCGUUUCAAUAAAUAGGGAGUCUAGAUUCGGCCAUCUUAGUUCAGUCGAGUUAGUGGUGCCAGAAGGUGCUUGAGCAGCGUGCGGUAAUUUUUGCCAAUUAAGUCAGGUUCGUUGUUGCUGCUAGCCGGCGCUGCCGCUAGUGGUAUUUCCCAUUUGAUUUGAUAUUUGAUAUGGUUGAGGGAAAUCCGUACUCAUCUCAUUUGCCAGCCUUAACAUCGGCUCACUGGACUCAGAUUGUUUGGAAGAGGGCUACCAACUCCAUCGGCAGCUAUCGGAGGAAGAAUUGCUGUUACUUUAGAGGUUUUGCUAUUGCUGGAAUUAUUUGGCCAUACAGAGUGAUCUAUCUCGGCGCGUUGAACUAGAGGAAGAAAACCCUCCGUAGAGGGUUUUUCUUUUUAAACUUUAACUAUGGGGUUUACUACUGUUAAUGGUCCUGUCCCUGCCUUGUGGGUCGGUUCAUCGACUUACUGUGAGUACUGUAGCUGUACGACUUCAAAAAUCAACCCGGUGACCUUUAUUUGAAGAGUUCUGCUCCGCUGUGGCUAUACUAUUCAACGUGGCUGCUUCGCUGUGGUUUGUAGGGGGCCAGUAGAAUGGCUUGACGCGAUGUUGGUGACACGGAUUUACCGGUAUCGUAACGUUCUUUACUUUUCUAUUAUUGCUAAUUUCUUUUAAUUUAUUUUCAUAUUAUAUAUUCCAUAUUACACUUUAUUACAAAAUAUA